rnacentral:rRNA from 1 species
CCUACGGGCGGCUGCAGUGGGGAAUAUUGGACAAUGGGGGCAACCCUGAUCCAGCCAUGCCGCGUGUGUGAAGAAGGCCCUCGGGUUGUAAAGCACUUUCAGCGAGGAAGAACGCCUGGUGGUUAAUACCCAUCAGGAAAGACAUCACUCACAGAAGAAGCACCGGCUAACUCCGUGCCAGCAGCCGCGGUAAUACGGAGGGUGCGAGCGUUAAUCGGAAUUACUGGGCGUAAAGCGCGCGUAGGUGGCUUGAUAAGCCGGUUGUGAAAGCCCCGGGCUCAACCUGGGAACGGCAUCCGGUACUGUCAAGCUAGAGUGCGGUAGAGGAAAGUGGAAUUCCCGGUGUAGCGGUGAAAUGCGUAGAGAUCGGGAGGAAUACCAGUGGCGAAGGCGGCCUUCUGGACUGACACUGACGCUGAGGUGCGAAAGCGUGGGUAGCAAACAGGAUUAGAUACCCGGGUAGUC